CGAGAACUAUAACACACCGAUUCCCCAAGCUGUCUUAAAAAAGUAGGUUUUUAUGAGAAAAAAAUAGGAAAAAGUAGGAAAAUCAAGCAAUUUUUAAUAAAAAAUAGGAAAAGUAGGAAAGUCGAAGAAAAGUAGGAAAAAUUAGGAAAAGUAGGAUGGCAAGAAAGUCUGGGAUUGGCAGGGCGAAUCAUCUGGAUUGGCAGGGCAAUCAAAGAUUUUAAAUGAUAGAAUGUAGAGUUAUUAACAUAGGUUAUUAAGUAACUGUCAGGGCUUUCAGAGGGAAUUGAAUAGAAUUUAUAGACCUAAAUUUUACAGAUAUUGGUCCAAAAAUAAGGG